rnacentral:rRNA from 1 species
GUAGGGGUGCGAGCGUUAAUCGGGAAUUACUGGGGCGUAAAGCGUGCGCAGGCGGUCUGUUAAGACAGAUGUGAAAUCCCCGGGGCUCAACCUGGGAACUGCAUUUGUGACUGGUAGGCUAGAGUAUGGCAGAGGGGGGUAGGAAUUCCACGUGUAGCAGUGAAAUGCGUAGAGAUGUGGAGGAAUACCGAUGGCGAAGGCAGCCCCCUCGGGCCAAUACUGACGCUCAUGCACGAAAGCGUGGGGAGCAAACAGGAUCAGAUACCCUGGUAGUCCACGCCCUAAACGAUGUCAACUAGUUGUUGGGGAUUCAUUUCCUUAGUAACGUAGCUAACGCGUGAAGUUGACCGCCUGGGGAGUACGGUCGCAAGAUUA